rnacentral:rRNA from 1 species
UACGUAGGGUGCAAGCGUUGUCCGGAAUUAUUGGGCGUAAAGAGCUCGUAGGCGGUCUGUCGCGUCGAAUGUGAAAACCCGGGGCUCAACUCCGGGCUUGCAUUCGAUACGGGCAGGCUAGAGUUCGGUAGGGGAGACUGGAAUUCCUGGUGUAGCGGUGGAAUGCGCAGAUAUCAGGAGGAACACCGGUGGCGAAGGCGGGUCUCUGGGCAGUAACUGACGCUGAGGAGCGAAAGCGUGGGGAGCGAACAGG